AUACGGAGGGUGCAAGCGUUACUCGGAAUCACUGGGCGUAAAGCGCGCGCAGGCGGCUUGAUAAGUUGGAUGUGAAAGCCUACGGCUCAACCGUAGAACUGCAUCCAAAACUAUUUAGCUAGAGUGUGGGAGAGGAAGAUGGAAUUGGUUGUGUAGGGGUAAAAUCCGUAGAGAUAACUAGGAAUACCAAAAGCGAAGGCAAUCUUCUGGAACACUACUGACGCUGAGGCGCGAAGGCGUGGGGAGCAAACCGGAUUAGAAACCCCGGUAGUCC
rnacentral:rRNA from 1 species